rnacentral:rRNA from 1 species
UCAGAACGAACGCUGGCGGCAUGCCUAACACAUGCAAGUCGAACGAGACCUUCGGGUCUAGUGGCGCACGGGUGCGUAACGCGUGGGAACCUGCCUUUAGGUUCGGAAUAACUCAGAGAAAUUUGAGCUAAUACCGGAUAAUGUCUUCGGACCAAAGAUUUAUCGCCUUUAGAUGGGCCCGCGUAAGAUUAGCUAGUUGGUGGGGUAAAGGCCUACCAAGGCGACGAUCUUUAGCUGGUCUGAGAGGAUGAUCAGCCACACUGGAACUGAGACACGGCCCAGACUCCUACGGGAGGCAGCAGUGGGAAUAUUGGACAAUGGGCGAAAGCCUGAUCCAGCAAUGCCGCGUGAGUGAUGAAGGCCUUAGGGUUGUAAAGCUCUUUUACUGGGGAUGAUAAUGACAGUACCCAGAGAAUAAGCUCCGGCUAACUCCGUG